rnacentral:rRNA from 1 species
ACGGGAGGCAGCAGUAGGGAAUCUUCGGCAAUGGACGAAAGUCUGACCGAGCAACGCCGCGUGAGUGAAGAAGGUUUUCGGAUCGUAAAGCUCUGUUGUAAGAGAAGAACGGGUGUGAGAGUGGAAAGUUCACACUGUGACGGUAUCUUACCAGAAAGGGACGGCUAACUACGUGCCAGCAGCCGCGGUAAUACGUAGGUCCCGAGCGUUGUCCGGAUUUAUUGGGCGUAAAGCGAGCGCAGGCGGUUAGAUAAGUCUGAAGUUAAAGGCUGUGGCUUAACCAUAGUACGCUUUGGAAACUGUUUAACUUGAGUGCAGAAGGGGAGAGUGGAAUUCCAUGUGUAGCGGUGAAAUGCGUAGAUAUAUGGAGGAACACCGGUGGCGAAAGCGGCUCUCUGGUCUGUAACUGACGCUGAGGCUCGAAAGCGUGGGGAGCGAACAGGAUUAGAUACCCUGGUAGUCCACGCCGUAAACGAUGAGUGCUAGGUGUUAGGCCCUUUCCGGGGCUUAGUGCCGCAGCUAACGCAUUAAGCACUCCGCCUGGGGAGUACGACCGCAAGGUUGAAACUCAAAGGAAUUGACGGGGGCCCGCACAAG